CAAAAAAGAGUGAGAGAGUAAAACAGAUCGAGGCAGCAGCGGCUGUACCAAAUCGGAGUGGUCUACCAGUGCAUCACCAUAGCUCCAUUGAUGGCUAGGUCUCAUUGGCGCCGUGACACGCGCUCGGGCCGUGAUUCAUGCGCCAUCCAGCAGCGAGGCUGCAUCUCAGUCGAUCCCCACCAGGACCAGGCUCCCCUCCACAUGCACCACCUCUUCCGAUUAGCUGUCGGCCGAUGUCGCUUCUAGCCGUCACGAAUCUAACCCCAAGGCCCAAGCUAUCCCGCUCUACUUCUCCCAUCACGUUCUUCGCGGUGUCCAGGGUGCAGAUCCUCGCCGACCUCGUGAGUCCGGCGGGCAAUUGAGGGAGAAAUAGGAGUUGCUGCCUUCCUCACUGUAGGUGCUGGCAUGCCUCUGCCAAUGUCUUAUAGUCUUGUUUUCCUUCAAAAGCGGCGAUAUCAUAAAGAAGUCUCAUGCAUUACCUGAUUUGUCUACCUUCCGCACCUCAUUCUAGUGAGAGGCAACUCAAAAGGGUGGUUGUCCGUCAAGAAUCGAGAUGUCUAGCAUGUUGCAGUUUUCACCGAUUCUGCUGUGUCGUAGAAUCAGUAGACUUCGAUUGGUCAAGGAGAAGAUUGGGCUGGCUUCGAUUUUGGGAUGUGUCCGGCUGGGUGUAUUUUUGUCUUUUUAUGUAUGCAUGUCAUGGCAGAGUAUGUGUGUGCUGGUUGUGUCCGGCUGGUCUUUUUAUGCGUGCUUGAGCUGGCCAAAUACUUUUGGAGUAUUUUUUGUUGAGUCCAUGUUGAGUCCAUGCUCAACACGUCUGGACUUCUUUUGGUUGCGUUGGAGAUUUGGAAGCGGGUGCACGUUGAGUCCAUGCUCAACACGUCUAGAGUUCUUUUGCUUGAUCUGGAUGCAGGUGACGUUUUAUAUAUGGUUAAUUGUGUCUUGGUGUCUUAUUUCUUUGUGGUUCUCCCGGAGGUCUUUUGAUGAAAAGAUAUAUG